UCAACGCAUAAAAAUAUCCAUACGAUAAGCCCAAUGAUGAUAUUACGUUUGGAGAUUUUGUUAGAAUCCAAUCGAUUUUCAGAAGUAUGGUCCUUGAUUCAUCGAUGACGAAGAAGGUCGUUCUAAGUGGGUUUUUUGCAGAGAGAGACAAUAGGAAUUUUAGUGGUAAUGAUAAUUUUCCGGCUGAAUACCGGCCAAAUUUUGACCGGACAAUAGUGAUUUGGUUUGCCAUUGAAGAUCACGAACAUGGGGAGACGAUUAAGGAGAAGAAAAAAAAAAUGAGAAAGAAAAGAAUAAAGAAUGAAGUUAUUCGACAGAAGGUAGGGGUGGCCCCGGUGGACGAGAAGAUGCGGGAAGCGAGGCUGAGGUGGUUCGGGCAUGUUCGGAGGAGGGNN
rnacentral:lncRNA from 1 species